AACGAACGCUGGCGGCGUGCUUAACACAUGCAAGUCGAGCGGUAAGGCCCUUUCGGGGGUACGACGAGCGGCGAACGGGUGAGUAACACGUGGGUGACCUGCCCUCAGCUCUGGGAUAAGCCUGGGAAACCGGGUCUAAUACCGGAUAUGACUCCAUGACGCAUGUUGUGGGGUGGAAAGCCUUGUGCGGCUGAGGAUGGGCCCGCGGCCUAUCAGCUUGUUGGU
rnacentral:rRNA from 1 species